rnacentral:lncRNA from 1 species
UUUCAUUCUAACUUUAGAAGCAGCAGAAAGCAAAUGUUUGGUUCUUUGCAGAAUUUGGAUCACUAGAAGAUAACAACUGGAGCAAUCUACUACCAAAGAUACAAACCAUGGAAACCAGGGAUAGACAUUAGGCCCCCACAUCACACCCCAUGCUAUAAGGCCAUGAAAAUGCAAGAACGGAGAUAUACACGCCUGUGCUGGACAAGGAGAAAUCAGCUCUAGGAGCACACAGCGUGGUGGAGAAGACCCUACAAGGUCCAGGUUGCAGAUGAAGAUGGACUCAAAGGAGGGGAUAAGAAAGGAUAUGGCCUCGGAUAUAUAUGCAAAUCAAUUGUUCAGGUCUGAGAAAUCCGGUGGGGGGUCUCGGGCUUCUCUCACUGACCUAUUGCUGUACUCUGUGCGUGAAUGUGCUUGGCAAACCCUUCAGAAUGAGCGAGUUCUGGUAGCUUCUCUGCCUCUGCCUGUUGGCAACUCCAGAGGGACUGGUUCUUACUGGGGGAUCCACUGUUUCUCAGGGGAGGUUGGGAAUAGACUCAGGAAGGUAUCCAUGGCGACGGUCCAGAGACGGGAGCAGCGAGCGAGCCGCCCUGGAGAUGAGACAGCACUGGACCCGGACUGUGGGGUGCAGCUUGUUCACAGGCGUUCCCCUGGGCCCUACCAUCCGGCAGUCACCGCAACAAUGAGGCAGCACAUUGUUAAAUGUGUGUAAAAUUACUUGUGACCAGAAUCAAAUCUUGUUGUGACGGGGAACAUACCGGCCCAAACUUAAGGACGCUGACAGACUUCCAGGCUGAAGAAGACCCAAAGGUGAUGAGAGCUGACCGCCCAGCUGUUCCCAUGCACAGUAACCCGGGCGGGAGGAGCAGCGUGGUGUGUGACAAGUUGGCAGCAACUCGGGCCACCCUGAGGCACGCUCAGAUGGAGAACAAGGAAGAAUAUUACAUAUUUGAACUCUGGCAAUUUUUACUCUUCAGCUAUGAAGGGCAGGAGAGCGAAUGCUGUCACUAAAGGUGUCCAUUCCCAGGGGCUCCCGAGAAUGCCGCGCGGUCACGCUUAGUGCUUCUGAUGAUGCCCUAGGCAGAAAGUCACGCCUGCACCUGGAAGGAGGCUACAGUUUUUUGGCACAAUGACAUUUUUAUGGAGAAGUUUGUCACUAUUUGUCUGGUACUGUGAUUUCUACCGAGGUCAGAGCUGAGGGAGAAACCCAGCAUUGACCGCAUUCCUCGGCCCCACCACGGAGGGCAGGUGUGCACCGCCCAAGCGGAAAACCACAAGGUUGUUUUGUUGAAUGGAAAAUUACUCACCUAAGGUCUGGUCCAGCAGUUAGGUCAUGUUUGUUCUUAGAAACAGCCUCAGCUGAGGGUGUAGAGUAUGUGGGCGCCUUGUCUUCCAUGCACCUUCAUGACGCCACUGUUGCUGUCAUCAGCAGAUGAGCUACCCCCUCCCCCAUGUGCAUGUUUGCGUUCUAGCACGGGCACACAGAAAAGCGGUGCUUUGCAAAGGCCUUUGUUAGCUGUGCAUUAGGCUCUGAUUCAAGGUGGUAUUGACUCUCACAAUCCGAAUGCAAAAAUAGGCAGAACAAAGCAGACAGCUCUGUCUCCAGAUACUCCUUACACAUUCCAGCUUUUUUCUGAGCCAAUGACCAUGUUACAUGAGGAUGGGACAUUUCACAUUUAGGUUGUGCUGGCUGCUGUUCUCUCCAAAAGAAAGUGGAAGAAAUUUAUUGGCAAAAAGCAUGGGAAAGCCUCGCAAGUGCAAAGAUUAGCA